rnacentral:rRNA from 1 species
UACGUAGGGUGCAAGCGUUUGUCCGGAAUUAUUGGGCGUAAAGAGCUCGUAGGCGGUCUGUCGCGUCGGCUGUGAAAUCCCGAGGCUCAACCUCGGGCCUGCAGUCGAUACGGGCAAACUGGAGUGUUGCAGGGGAGACUGGAAUUCCUGGUGUAGCGGUGAAAUGCGCAGAUAUCAGGAGGAACACCGAUGGCGAAGGCAGGUCUCUGGGCAUUAACUGACGCUGAGGAGCGAAAGCAUGGGGAGCGAACAGG